GAGUCGGUGGUUCAGUGGUAGAAUGCUCGCCUGCCACGCGGGCGGUCCAGGCUCGUUUCCCGGCCGAUGUA
rfam:Ancylostoma duodenale strain Zhejiang A_duodenale-1.0_Cont3584.1, whole genome shotgun sequence.